UCUGCCCCUAGAGACAUUGCAGGUGUGGCUGCUGUGUCGCAUGUGUGUCAGUAGGUGGCAGAGAUGAGAGAGGCUCUGUCUAUGCUCAUUGUUCUAACCUAUGGACAUUUGAAUGACAUUCCUGGAAAA